UACGUAGGUGGCAAGCGUUGUCCGGAUUUACUGGGCGUAAAGAGCGCGCAGGCGGUCGUUUAAGUCGAAUGUGAAAGCCCCCGGCUCAACUGGGGAGGGUCAUUCGAUACUGAUCGACUUGAAGGCAGGAGAGGGAAGUGGAAUUCCGGGUGUAGUGGUGAAAUGCGUAGAUAUCCGGAGGAACACCAGUGGCGAAGGCGACUUCCUGGCCUGUUCUUGACGCUGAGGCGCGAAAGCUGGGGGGAGCAAAACGGG
rnacentral:rRNA from 1 species